UACAGAAGGGGUAGCGUUCUGAAAUAUUAAUUAGGCAUUAAGCGUGAUUAGGCGGCAAAAAAUGAAAUAAAAUGCUAGAGUUAUAAAAGGAGAGUUAGGGGAAUAACCAAAGGAGGGAUGAAAUCCAUAGAUAUUGGUUGGAACAUCGGUAGCGACAGCACCACUCUAUUUUUUAAACUGACGCUGAUUCACUAAAGUCUGGGUAGCAAACCGG
rnacentral:rRNA from 1 species